rnacentral:misc_RNA from 1 species
GAUGAAGAACGCAGUGAAAUGCGAUAAGUAAUGUGAAUUGCAGAAUUCAGUGAAUCAUCGAAUCUUUGAACGCACAUUGCGCCCCCUGGAAUUCCGGGGGGCAUGCCUGUUCGAGCGUCUCAGGGACGAACCCUCGCGCGGGUGUACGCGCGGUCGUGGCUGCGGUGGCGUGCCCGAGGCGGCGGCCACCGCGCUGGAAUCCAUGGGCGGACGCCUGCCGCGUGGCCGAGCGUGAUAUGACGCAUUGGCGCUCGCACGCGGCGAGGCUGCCAGCCCUGGCCCGUCUGUCGGGCGGGGGAGAGCAAGACACGUGAACUCCUCGAAUCAGGUAGGGAUACCCGCUGAACUUAAGCAUAUCAAUAAGCGGAGGA